ACAGCUUCCUGCUUAUGGCAACAAGGAAGCAGAACGCAGAGUGAUGAGAGAUUUAUGUGGAUAUGAUAGCACUGGACACUUCGAGGCUCCAUUGGCAAAACAUGCGGCAAAUAGGAAACCAAGGGUAGACCUUUGACAUUUAAGAAGUAUAUGCCCUAAGAUUUCUACAGAUCCUGAAAUUCAUCACUACGGCAGAAUCACGCAUCUUAUGGUGAGUCAAUGAUGACUAAUGUAGCAGAGGCGUUUACUGGUCAUUGAAUAUCAAUGUGUUCCCUCCACUUUUUCCACUACCUUUAAGUUAGACUGGAUGGUGUGAAUACAUUAUCUGACAGAUGGCUGUGAUUGGAAGUGAUAUGUCUCUCUGAUGGGUUGAAUCACUAAAGAACUACAUUGAAACUCUCUCGCUUUCUCUUUUGCUGUCAUGGAGAAAGAGAUCAUGAAAUCACAGGAGGGAAAGUAACUUAGAUCUCUGAGUCACUGAAAAUAAAUUCCUUACAGAACCACUGACCCCACAAUAAAUACUAUGUGAGUGAAAAAUAAACUUUUAUGCCUGUUACUGCUGCAAAGCUAGGCUAUCGUGACUAAUCCAACUACCAUAAUAAAAUCUAUCCUAUGCCACAUUUCAUAAUAAAUAGCACAAAUUCGUAAGCCUGUUUGUGAGAACGCUCUUGUGUGUCUACUGAUGCCAUUGUAACACAUCAGUAAUGUGGAGGGUAGCCAGGUUUCUACCAGAUCUGAUUCCAUGUAUGGAGAAAAUUUUGAUGUGAUUUGGCUUCAUGUUCCACCCAAAUCUCAUCUUGAAUUGUAAUCCUCAUGUGUCAAGGGAGGGACCUGGUGGGAGGUGAUUGGAUCAUACGGGUUGUUUCCCCUUGCUGUGCUCCUGUUAGUGAGUUCUCCUGAGAUCUAAUGGUUUAAAAGUGUGUGGAAGUUCCCCCACCACCCCCUGCUGCUACGUAAGAUAUACUUUUCUUCUCUUUGCCUUCUGCCAUGAUUGUAAGUUUCCUGAGGCCUCCCCAGCCAUGUAGAACUGUGUGUCCAUUAAACCUCUUUUCUUUAUGAAUUACCUAGUCUCAGGUAGUUCAUUAUAGCAGUGUGAAAACAAGACUAAUACAAUUUGGACAAUAAAUUUCAACUCUAUAUGUGUUUUGCAAUACAUGAUUUAAACCCACUUUCUAUUACAUUUCUCCCAGAGUCAUUGAGAAUCACUGGUACAGAUUAUCUGGAGGAUUAUUACUUUAAAUUCAGAGGGAGAGAGAAAAAAAAAAAAAACAGCCCUGAGAAGUGGGAAACUGGCAGUCAACAAAGCUUAUUCAUUUCUAAGUAAAUGUUUUACAUCAGACUUAUUGUACCUACAUAUUCAGAAAACUUUUUCUGAAUCAUUGUGAAUCUAUUUCUUAGACUUCAACUAAUGCCUAUUUGUGCUUGGAACAUAUCUUGCUUAUAAUUCUAACCCAGAUAUAAUCUAAUAAUAGAUUAUAUAUCAGAAGCAUUGGAUUAUCUGUUCUUUCAUUUCUUCCUUCCUAUCACUCAGGGUCCAAUCAAGGGACAAAAAAUAUACCUAUUACUUAAACAGAAAUUACUCAAUGCAAGGAUUGUUCACUGAGUAUAAAAUGGUUUAAUAAAGAACUCAAAAGACCAGAAAAGAAUACUAAGGUGUAACGGAGAUAGUAUUGCAGGACAAAGCCUCCAUUUCUAGGGCUACAAAAAGAAAGGAAAAGUCUGGAAUUAUAACAACAUGGAAGCUUAGAGGAGAAGCCCUGUGGAGUAGAAACUCAGCCUUCUGAGGAGAAGGAGCUGCUCAUCUUGUGCUGGUGUCUCUGAGCUCAGAGGAAGAGCUCCCAGGACUGGGACCCGGCCUUUUCCACUUCUGAGAAGGAGGCACUGGCUGGCCGUACUGCUAGAGAGGGAGGGUCGGUCUACAAGUGUAAAAAAAUGUGCAGUCUUGAUUCAGCUGCUGUUACAGUCAGGACCUGCUUUACUAUUGAGGGAAAGAAUCAUAGGUGGGCUGACACUCACAGAAACAGGAUACAGGAAAGAAGAAGCAUAGAGCCUGCAGGAAACAGACAUGACACAGCAAGCCUCUUCUUCUUCCUCCAGCAGUGUAGACAACCCUAGUGCCUCCUACUGAAAAAGUCUAACAGGAAUCCAGAUGCCCAAAUGGAAAAGUGGUUUUCAUAAUUCUCAUUAUCACAAAACAGAGUAUAGAAGAGUAGAUUUGGUGCCAAGAAACUAUCACUAAAAGUUAGCAGAUAUUUUUCUUUAAAAUUAAUUUCCUGGUUUACUUUGGAAAUGACUGUCUCAGUAAUUGAAAAGAAUUAAGUGAUUCUGACAAUUAUGUUUCCUUGCUCACCCAUAGACCGGCCAUAUUAAAAUUUUGCUAAAUGCUUUACUUUAAUUUGAUUUUCUCUGUGCAGUAAAAAUAGUGCUAGUAUUGAAAAUAAUAAAUCCUGGCCUAAGAGUAAGAAAAUCUAAGUUUUAAUCCUCCAUGUACUAUUUAUGUGAUCACUGGAAAACUAUAUAACAUGCCUGAGAUUUAAUUACUUCUUGAGGAUGUUAUUGAAUUAUAAAAAUUUAACAUAAAAUAAUAAUUUCCAUUUGGUACUCUGACAGCCAUGAAAAUUCACCUUAUAGACCACCAACUACAGCUGUUAUGUGCUGAAUUCCAUCACAGCAUUUGCACUGAGGCCACACUUUCCCUGGGCUGCCUCAGGCUACAGACAGCAUGCAACUAGCACACUGAUGUUGGCCUGUUCCCAGGAGACAGGAGACUCCUGUGAUAGCCUACUUGGUCCCAGCAACUCCCCAACAACCUGAUUGGAUUUUCUGUAGAAUACAUGGCAUUCUAGGACACUCGUACACAACCUUUUUUUGCUUUCUCCUUCACCCGGGGUGAGGCUUGCAUGGUGGUCUGACGUCUCUCUCAAACUUCCAUGGCUUCCUCUUCAUUUUGUCUCUCCGGCUUUUCCCUAAUAAGGUCCUUGCAUGUCUCAUCCUAUCUUGGAACCUGCUUUAUAACAUGGUUUGUGUUUCUUAAAAUGCGAUUUAUGAACCCCUUUGGCCAGAAUCAUCUUGAGUUACCUUUUGAGAUGCACCUCUCCAGGACCUAUGUGAGAGGCCCCCAGUUAGGAUUUUCUGAGGCUGGGGAAAGCUUUCUGAAUUUUUAAUUAGUUCUCCAGGUUAUUAUUGUUAAUAUUAAAUGUACAGCUCCACUGUCACAUGAACAUAUCUUUCAACAUUUUAAUGAUUUCACUCCACCCUUUUCUUGCUUGUGUAGUUUCUGACAAGAAGUCAGCUGUAAUUCCUAUCCCUUUCCCCUUUAGUCUGAUUUUCUUUCCCUAUGGCUUCUUUGUCUUUUUUUUUUUUUUUUUUGCAUGUGGUUUUGUUGUUGUUUUUCACUUAGAACAUGAUAUAGCUAGGUGUAUAGAUUUUUUGCUGUUAUUUAGUAUAUACCUGUUUUUUGUUUUCUAAGCUUGCUGGAUCUGUGGUUUGGAGAUAGUCAUUAACUUUGGAAAAUCCUUGGCCAAUAUUUCUUUUAUUUUUUUUUUUUUGAAACCAACUCUUGCUCUGUCACCCAGGCUGGAGUGCAGUGUCAUGAUCUUGACUCACUGCAACCUCCACCUCCUGGGUUCAAGCUCUUCUUGUGCCUCAGCCUCCCAAGUAGCUGGAAUUACAGGCAUGUGCCACCAUGCCUACUAAUUUUUGUAUAUUUAGUAGAGAUGGGGUUUUAUCAUGUUGGCCAGGCUGGUCUCGAACUCCUGACCUCAAGUGAUCCACCCACCUCAGCAUCCCAAAGUGCUGGGAUUACAGCAUGAGCCACCAUGCCCGGCCACAAUUGUUAUUUCAAAUUUUUAUUCUGCUCCAUUCUUUUUCUCUUCUCCGUCUUCUGUUAUUGCAAUUAUGUGUAUGUUGCAGCUUUUGAAAUAGUCCCAAAGAUCUUGGAUGUCACUUAUCACCAACCUCAUUGUUUCUUUUCUCACCUAUAUUGAGUCUACUGAUAAGCCCAUUAGAGGCAUUCUUCCUUUCAGUCACAGUGUUUUGUGACUGUUUCCUUUUGAUUUUUGAGUAUCUGCUUACAUUACCCAUCUGUUCUUUCUUUUUGACCACUUUUUCCGCCAAAGCCUUUAACAUAUCAUAAUUAUUUUUAAAUUCUCAGUCUAAUUUCAAAAAUCUGUAUCCUAUCUGAGUGAUGAUGAUUACUUUGUCUCUUCAGAUUCUGUUUUUUUUUCCCCCACCUUUUGGCAUGUCUUAUAAUUUCACAUCAAAAGCUGGAUAUGUUUUAUUUUUCAUUUUUCUCUUUUUCUUUUUUCCUUUUUUUUUUUUUUUUUUUUUUAAGAUGGAGUCUCACUCUGUCACCCUGGCUGGAGUGCAGUGGCACAAUCUUGGCUGACAGCAGCCUCUGCCUCCCAGGUUCAAGUGAUUCUUGUACUUCCACCUCCUGAGUAGCUGGGAUUACAGGUGCCCACCACCAUGCCUGGCUAAUUUUUGUAUUUUUAGUAGAGACGGGGUUUCACCAUGUUGGCCAGGCUGGUCUCAAAGUCCUGACCUCAGGUGAUCCGCCCGCCUCAGCCUCCCAAAGUGCUGCGAUUACAGGUGUGAGCCACUGCACCCAGCCAAAAGCUGGAUAUGUUUUAUCAAGUCAUAGGAACUAAAUAAAUAAGCUUUUAGUAUAAGAAUUUAUGUUAAUCUGGUUAUGAGUUAUGCUGUGUUCAGUGUUGCUGUAGCUAUAGGUGCCAGAGUCUUCAAGUUCCCCCAGUGUCAUUUUUUGGCCACCCGUCUUUAUUUUGAGCUUGCCUAAGUGCUCCUCCACAGAGAGAGCAUGUGUCUUACAGCUUUUUCAGUUGUGAUCCAUUUUAUUAUACUGAAAUCCUGUUGGUGUAUUGUUAAGUCAUGGAGAAGGGGGUGUAUUCUAUAAUCUUGGGGCUAAAUCUCUAACUUUUCGUGAGCCUGUGUCUCAGGGCUGUGACCUUCACAAAUGUUUGUAUUCCUCUGCCUCUUAACUACCUUGCCUAGCUGCAGCAUUUUCCAGUGUUUUUAAUCUUUUUCUUUAAAUUACUGACCUAUUGACUUGGUUUUGAUUUAUUUUCUUUUUUGUUUUUUUGUUCAUUAGCUGAGACAAGAAGGUUGGAGGGGACUGGAGUAUAAGAAAUUUUUCCCCCACGUGGGAUAACAUUCCAGCAAAAUCCUUUUUUCUUCACAAUAGGCUUUUGUUAUGGAGAAGACUCUGGGUGUAUUUCACAAUGGUUACUUUUCCUCUUACUUGCCAGAGUCACAAGGGGAUGUUUCAUAUAUCUUCCUGAAGAUAAAGCUCAUGCAAAUAUAGACCACCUACAAAACUACAGCACCCAGUCUAUCUUAACAUUUUAUCAAAUAAUUUAGCAAUUUAUCAAAGUUACCAUUUAAGUAUUUAUACAAAUUUAUGCUCCAGCUGCUUCUGCUCCAGGUACACAGAUCUCAGAUGUCUCUCUGGAUCUCUCUCUCUCCUUUAUUUCAGGGUAGUGGUUCUCCAAUGGGCUUGAGAAAAAGUAAUUGAUUUUCAAUUUGUCCAGCUUUUUCUUGUUUUAAAGAUGAGAGAGAUGACUAAUAGGAUCUUUACAUAUCAGAGAUGAAACCAGAGAUUACAACCACAUCCCUGAUUUCACAAAUAAACAAAUAUGGAUUGAGUAUCUGCAACAUAAAAAAAAUCUGUAAGUGAUAGACUCUAUCUCUGCCUUCAACUUCAUAGGAAAUAUGAGACACUCAUGACUCUCAAAUAGCUCUGACUAUCCUGUAUCCUCAGAUCCAAAAUCUACUUUUCCCACUAGCUCCCUGGUCUGAUGACCUUGGAGGAUAGAACAUCAAAACUCACAUGAAGACAAAUCUCUGACAUAAAGAGAGCACUUGUUUUGAAGACAUGAGCUUAUCUAGCCCUAGAGAAGUUUGAGGGCUGGGCUUUUUCUUAUCUGAGAUAUGGCUUCUAAAACGUUCACCAGCAUUCUGUGUAAAUCUUAGCAUGAAAUUUAUUACAUAUGCAUUUCUAUCUUCCCACCAGUAAGUUCCUUGAGGAAAGGAACUCACUUUCUUUACAUGUUUAUCUUCAGAAUAUAGAAUAUGCUCUCAAAUAAAAGCAGCUC
rnacentral:lncRNA from 10 species